UCAGCGUCACGUUGAAUUGGAAACGAAAUUCCAAAGAAAACAAUGGAUAAGAUAUAGACAUAGUGAGGCCUCAGUCUCAGAGGUGGAAAUGGCUUCAAUCAUCCACAACGGCGUUCAAAUUUCUUCGAAGCUCGAUUCUCCGUGGCUCAAGGUUUCAUCACAGCUUCAUUUUCAUCCUCGAACAUGGAUUGAGACUGUCCACAAUCACGUUCCUCAAUUUUCCCCAGUUAUCCUCAAUUGCCAUCCUGCUCCACGCUCUUUGAUUCGAUGCGGCAGUCGAAUCGAGAGGGAAGGCGAUCCAUCUACUGCAGAAGCCAAUAGGACCUCUUCCGUCCCAGGAACGAUUGAGGGGCUCGAAAGUAAAGUUUCUUCCCUAAGAAAUGUUGCUUUAUGUGUUGCUACUGCAGUGGCAUUUGGUAUCGGGGUGGGUUUGAAAGAUGGACCUGGCAAGGCAUCUGAAUUUUUUGCUGGGUAUCUUCUGGAGCAAAGUUUGUCAGUUGACAAUCUUUUUGUCUUUGUUUUGAUUUUCAAGUACUUUAAAGUGCCAAUGGAGUAUCAGAAUCGGGUGCUUACUUAUGGUAUUUCUGGUGCAAUUGUCUUUCGUCUAACUAUCAUACUUCUGGGAACAGCCACUCUCCAGAGAUUUGAGGCAGUAAACCUGCUUCUGGCUGCUAUACUUCUAUUCUCAUCAUUUCAGCUGUUUGCCAGUGAAGAAGAGGAUGACGGUGACCUAUCAGACAACUUUGUAGUGAAGACAUGCCAAAAAUUAAUCCCUGUGACAGCAAACUAUGAUGGGAAUCGCUUUUUUACACUUCAGGAGGGUGUGAAGAAAGCAACACCUUUACUUCUCACCGUAGCUGUAAUUGAGCUCAGUGAUAUAGCAUUUGCCGUUGACUCAAUACCUGCUGUUUUUGGUGUUACAAGGGACCCUUUCAUAGUGUUUACGUCUAAUUUUUUUGCCAUUUUAGGUUUAAGGUCCCUAUUCAUUCUUGUAGCUGAUGGGAUGUCAGAAUUGGAGUACUUACAGCCUUCUAUUGGCGUUGUUUUAGCAUUUAUUGGGAGUAAGAUGAUCCUGGAUUUCUUUGGAUUCCAUGUCCCAACUGAGGCAUCUCUUGGAUUUGUUGCAAUAAGUCUGAGCACUGGAGUCCUGUUGAGUCUACUGAAGAAGGCUGAUUGAUCAUAAAAACAGAAAUACAGGAAUUGUGUGUUAAAAUUGUCACAUCACUAUUGACCGGAGCCUUGGAUAUACACGGUAAAGAAAAAAGAUGCACAUUCUGCUGUCUACAAAUCGUCAAGGUUAGAAGAACCAUUCUUUAACCGGUCGUUGGUUGUUGUGAUUUGAAAGUGGAGUCCAAACGUGAAUAUGGGUACAAAAUACAAGUAAACAACACGAAAUGUAAUCAAAUGGGGUUCAUUUUUCAAACUAUCUUUGAUUUAUUACAUUUAUUCUAGGGUACAUCUAUUCUAAGGUAAACGUGACCUCCAGCACUUUUCUGCUAGAGACAGCAGCCCAAUACAGGUGGUAACAUUUGCAUACUGAUGGGUAUUGUGUUAUUAUUGUUCACUAAUUGAUCAUAGGUUAGUGAUUGGAAUAUCCAUAGUUUAUAUUAGAGUAUGUUAUUAUUUUGUAAACACUAAGUUUCUUAUAAUUUUAUUCAAUUUGAAUCUUUCGAUAA